AGCAGCCGCGGUAAUUCCAGCUCCAAUAGCGUAUAUUAAAGUUGUUGCAGUUAAAAAGCUCGUAGUUGAAUUUCGGGAUCAAGUCGUCGGUCGUGCCUCGGUACGCACUGGUGACAUUGGUUUCUCCCUUCUGAAGAACCUUGAUGUCAUUAAUUUGGUGUCUUGGGGAAUCAGGACUGUUACUUUGAAAAAAUUAGAGUGUUUAAAGCAAGCUCACGCUUGAAUACAUUAGCAUGGAAUAAUGAAAUAGGACGUUUGAUUCUAUUUUGUUGGUUUCUAGGAUCGACGUAAUGAUUAAUAGGGAUAGUUGGGGGCAUUAGUAUUCAAUUGUCAGAGGUGAAAUUCUUGGAUUUAUUGAAGACUAACUACUGCGAAAGCAUUUGUCAAGGAUGUUUUCAUUAAUCAAGAACGAAAGUUAGGGGAUCGAAGACGAUCAGAUACCGUCGUAGUCUUAACCAUAAACUAUGCCGACUAGGGAUCGGAUGAUGUUAAUUUUUAAUGACUCAUUCGGCGCCUUAAC
rnacentral:rRNA from 1 species